CCUACGGGUGGCAGCAGUGGGGAAUAUUGCGCAAUGGGCGAAAGCCUGACGCAGCGACGCCGCGUGAGGGAUGAAGGUCUUCGGAUCGUAAACCUCUGUCAGCAGGGAAGAAAGGUCACUGUGCUAAUCCGCAGUGACUUGACGGUACCUGCAAAGGAAGCACCGGCUAACUCCGUGCCAGCAGCCGAGGUAAUACGGAGGGUGCGAGCGUUAAUCGGAAUUACUGGGCGUAAAGCGGACGUAGGCGGUAUGUCAAGUCAAGGGUGAAAUCCCCGCGCUCAACGUGGGAACUGCCUUUGAAACUGGCAAACUUGAGUAGAAGAGAGGAGUGCAGAAUUCCUGGUGUAGCGGUGAAAUGCGUAGAUAUCAGGAGGAAUACCGUUAGCGAAGGCGGCAAUCUGGCUGGAAACUGACGCUGAGGUGCGAAAGCGUGGGUAGCAAACAGGAUUAGAUACCCCGGUAGUC
rnacentral:rRNA from 1 species